rnacentral:rRNA from 1 species
GUGUCGUGAGAUGUUGGGUUAAGUCCCGCAACGAGCGCAACCCUUGAUCUUAGUUGCCAGCAUUCAGUUGGGCACUCUAAGGUGACUGCCGGUGACAAACCGGAGGAAGGUGGGGAUGACGUCAAAUCAUCAUGCCCCUUAUGACCUGGGCUACACACGUGCUACAAUGGACAGAACAAAGGGCUGCGAGACCGCAAGGUUUAGCCAAUCCCACAAAUCUGUUCUCAGUUCGGAUCGCAGUCUGCAACUCGACUGCGUGAAGCUGGAAUCGCUAGUAAUCGCGGAUCA